CUGCUGUUAUUAGUAAUUAGUUAUAAACCAUUAAAUGUGUGUGCUGUCUGUGGUCAUUAAUGAGGCGUGUGAGCAGCCUGUCCCCUCUGUCGUUACAUGUCACACAAAUGCACCAACAUCUGGUGAAAAUGACAGGCAGCCCUGCAGAUAAAUGAUGCUAACUACUGCAUAAUGUGGCUAAAGCAUCGUUAAGAUGAAUAUAUCACCUCGCUAGCUCAGCUAGCAUGAACUAGCAAGCAAUCUUUGGAGGCUCCGUGUUGGGUCCUGACAGCCGCCGUUAACAAACCGCUGGAUUCACGUCCCAGAACUGUGACGGUGGACACGGGAACGGACCGGAGACGGACCGGAGACACCAGAGAAGCAGACCGACACCUUCCACUCGGACCUGUGGCUCACCCGGUCCACACGGUGCCUGACUGACCCGGUGCUGGUGGAUCACACAGAGCCUGAUCCGUCCUGAGGGUCCCGCAUCAUCACUGCCGGUCACUGAUGACAGAGUCCAUCUUCUGUCCUGUCAUCGAUCCGUCUCGUGCAUCACGUCUGAGCCUGAUGCAUCAUGGGGCUGAUUGAUGGCAGUGUUACCUCUGAGUGCCGGAAAGUAUCCGAGUACAUUUACUCGCGUACAUACACUGAUUCAGGUUAAAGCUUCUAUGGAUGAAUGUCUACAGAACAUCUGGAGGAGCAGAACCACCCGAACCGAACAGCCAUGACUGGUUAAAUACAUUAAUUAAUCCAUAUGCCAUUAAAUGUGUUAGAAAUAAUAAUAAAAAAGAAUAAAUACAGACAUUAACUCA